AUACUACUCCCUCCGUCCGGAAAUACUUGUCAUCAAAAUGAAUAAAAGGGGAUGUAUCUAGAUGUAUUUUAGUUCUAGAUACAUCCUUUUCUAUCCAUUUUGAUGACAAGUAUUUUCGGACGGAGGGAGUACUAA
rfam:Triticum urartu cultivar G1812 contig868270, whole genome shotgun sequence.